GAACCUCCAAACUUCAGUAAUGAACCUGGACCCUCAGACACAAAAUGGAGGGCGGUGUCUCCAGUCCCCAGCUGUCUGUCUGUGAAGACUGACUUCUCUAAAGAAGAACCUCCAAACUUCAGUAAAGAACCUGGACCCUCAGACACAAA